rnacentral:rRNA from 1 species
UACGGAGGGUGCGAGCGUUGUCCGGAAUCAUUGGGCGUAAAGGGCGCGUAGGUGGCGGCUUAAGCGUGCGGUGAAAGCUCGGGGCUCAACCCCGAGUCGGCCGUGCGAACUGAGUCGCUUGAGCACUGUAGAGGCAGGCGGAAUUCCGGGUGUAGCGGUGGAAUGCGUAGAGAUCCGGAAGAACACCGGUGGCGAAGGCGGCCUGCUGGGCAGUGCUGACACUGAGGCG